rnacentral:misc_RNA from 1 species
GAUGAAUAUCAGAACUUUUUGGCUGAGUUAGGAGGGACUAUACCAGAAUCCUCAACUAAGCAAACCUCUACCUUAGCUUUGGGUUCAGGUAGUUCUGGAAGCAAUCCUCCUUGGGCCACUAAUACUGGGGGUCUUGGCAGUGCAAAUCAACCGGGACUGGGAGCAAAUGGAAUUAAGCCUAUCAAAGAGUAUGAUGAUACUAAUUUGUAUAUUGGGUAUUUGCCACCUAA